AGCUCCAAUAGCGUAUAUUAAAGUUGUUGUGGUUAAAAAGCUCGUAGUGGUUGGUUUGAAUUGAUUCAACACUGACUUUUUUACCCGUGUGUUUUGCCAGAAUCUUACGGGUGAUCUUUACCGAUUGUCCGUUGGAACUGGCAGGUUUACUUUGAAAAAAUUAGAGUGCUCAAAGCAAGCUUACUGCUUGAAUAGUUGCGCAUGGAAUAAUAGAAUAGGAAGUCGUUUCUAUUUUGUUGGUUUUCGGAAAUCGACUUAAUGAUUAAUAGGGAUAGUCGGGGGCAUUCGUAUUCAAACGACAGAGGUGAAAUUCUUGGACCGUUUGAAGACGAACUAAGGCGAAAGCAUUUGCCAAGAAUGUUUUCA
rnacentral:rRNA from 1 species